GUCUACAGACAUACCACCCUGAACACACCUGAUCUUGUCUGAUCUAGGAAGCUAAGCAGAGUUGGGCCUGGUUAAUCCUUGAAUGACA
rnacentral:rRNA from 1 species